UACGUAGGGUGCGAGCGUUAAUCGGAAUUACUGGGCGUAAAGUGUGCGCAGGCCGCCGAGCAUGUCGAGUGUGAAAGCCCCGAGCUUAACUUGGGAACUGCGCUCGAAACUACUUGGCUAGAGUGUGGCAGAGGGAGGUGGAAUUCCACGUGUAGCGGUGAAAUGCGUAGAGAUGUGGAGGAACACCGAUGGCGAAGGCAGCCUCCUGGGCCAACACUGACGCUGAGGCGCGAAGGCGUGGGGAGCGAACGGG
rnacentral:rRNA from 1 species